GUGAACGCUGGCGGUGCGCCUAACACAUGCAAGUCGCGCGGCUCUCACCUUGGUUUUAGGGACGCCUGAAAUCAAAGUGAGGGCAGCGGCGAACGGCUGCGUAACACGUUGGUACCUGCCCCGAACUCAGGGAUAACCCUCCGAAAGGAGGGCUAAUACCGGAUGGUCCCGUAAGGGUAAAGCUUCGGCGGUUCGGGAGGGGCCUGCGGCCUAUCAGCUAGUUGGUAAGGUAACGACUUACCAAGGCUAUGACGGGUAGCUGAUUUGAGAGAAUGAUCAGCCAGAAUGGAACUGAGACACGGUCCAUACUCCUACGGGAGGCAGCAGUGAGGAAUCUUCCGCAAUGGGCGAAAGCCUGACGGAGCGACACCGCGUGAAGGAUGAAGUCCUUUUUGGAUGUAAACUUCUGUUCUGAGGGACGAAAUUUUUGACGGUACCUCAGGAGAAAGCAUCGGCUAACCCUGUGCCAGCAGCCGCGGUAAGACAGGGGAUGCAAGCGUUACUCGGAAUUACUGGGCGUAAAGCGUCUGCAGGUGUCCCGUUAAGUCUGGUGUGAAACCACGAAGCUCAACUUCGUGUGCGCAUUGGAAACUAUCGGGAUCGAGUCACUCAGAGGCAUCUGGAAUGCCGUGUGUAGGGGUAAAAUCCGUAGAUCCACGGUGGAACGCCAAAAGCGAAGGCAGGAUGCUGGGAGUGCACUGACACUCAGAGACGAAAGCGUGGGGAGCAAAGGGGAUUAGAUACCCCCGUAGUCCACGCCCUAAACGAUGCGGGCUCGGUGUAGGGAUUUUUCAAUUGAUCUCUGUGCCUUAGCUAACGCGGUAAGCCCGCCGCCUGGGAAGUACGGCCGCAAGGCUAAAACUCAAAGGAAUAGACGGGGACCCACACAAGCGGUGGAGCAUGGGGUUUAAUUCGAUGGUAAGCGAAGAACCUUACCCAGGCUUGACAUCCUAGGAACCUGGCCGAAAGGUCGGGGUGCCGCAAGGAACCUAGAGACAGGCGCUGCACGGUCGUCGUCAGCUCGUGCCUUGAGGUGUACUGUUAAGUCAGCCAACGAGCGCAACCCUCAUCCUAUGUUGUUUUUUCAUGGGAGACUGCCGCCUCCAAGGCGGAGGAAGGUGGGGAUGACGUCAGAUCAGCGUGGCCUUUAUGCCUGGGGCUACACCCAUGCUACAAUGGCCGGUACAAUGGGCAGCCAACCCGCAAGGGCGAGCAAAUCCCACCAAAGCCGGUCUCAGUUCGGAUUGAAGUCUGCAACUUGACUUCAUGAAGUUGGAAUCGCUAGUAACCGUGGAUCAGCCAUGCCACGGUGAAUAUGUUCCUGGGUCUUGUACUCACCGCCCGUCAACUCAUGAAAGGCAAGGGCACCCGAAGCACCUUUACUCGCAAGAGGAGGUACCACGGUGAAAUUGCUGAUUGGGAGU
rnacentral:rRNA from 1 species